AUCAAGUCUCUUGUGAAAUCUAAUGGCUUAACCAUUAAACUGCUUGGGAAACUGAUAGUCUAGAGUGAGGGAGAGGUAGAUGGAAUUGGUGGUGUAGGGGUAAAAUCCGUAGAUAUCACCAAGAAUACCCAUUGCGAAGGCGAUCUGCUGGAACUCAACUGACGCUAAGGCGCGAAAGCGUGGGGAGCAAACAGGAUUAGAUACCCUGGUAGUCCACGCCCUAAACGAUGUACACUAGUUGUUGGGAUGCUAGUCAUCUCAGUAAUGCAGCUAACGCAUUAAGUGUACCGCCUGGGGAGUACGGUCGCAAGAUUAAAACUCAAAGGAAUAGACGGGGACCCGCACAAGCGGUGGAGCAUGUGGUUUAAUUCGAAGAUACGCGAAGAACCUUACCUGGGCUUGAUAUCCUAAGAACCUUAUAGAGAUAUGAGGGUGCUAGCUUGCUAGAACUUAGAGACAGGUGCUGCACGGCUGUCGUCAGCUCGUGUCGUGAGAUGUUGGGUUAAGUCCCGCAACGAGCGCAACCCACGUAUUUAGUUGCUAACGGUUCGGCCGAGCACUCUAAAUAGACUGCCUUCGUAAGGAGGAGGAAGGUGUGGACGACGUCAAGUCAUCAUGGCCCUUAUGCCCAGGGCGACACACGUGCUACAAUGGCAUAUACAAUGAGACGCAAUACCGCGAGGUGGAGCAAAUCUAUAAAAUAUGUCCCAGUUCGGAUUGUUCUCUGCAACUCGAGAGCAUGAAGCCGGAAUCGCUAGUAAUCGUAGAUCAGCCAUGCUACGGUGAAUACGUUCCCGGGUCUUGUACUCACCGCCCGUCACACCAUGGGAGUUGAUUUCACUCGAAGCCGGAAUACUAAACUAGUUACCGUCCACAGUGGAAUCAGCGACUGGGGUGAAGUCGUAACAAGGUAACCGUAGGAGAACCUGCGGUUGGAUCACCUCCUUUCUA
rnacentral:rRNA from 1 species